AGCACUUAUGUUUGUUUUUGCUUAAUUUGUGGGCAAAGACUACAUUGCAUACAGGUGCAGAAAAUAAAUCCUCUUUUGCAACCCAGAACUCAUUGUUUGGUAUGAGUUUUGAUACAUACAAGAAAGAAAAUG